ACUGAAGACACAGAAAUCCUCCUCAUCUAAAACAUGACUUUGAUCUGCAUCCUCAUCUGGACUCUCCUCUGCUGCUGCUUCACAGAGGUCAAAGGUCAGGUCACAGUGAGUCAGCAGCCAGAAGCAGUGAGAACUGGACUGGGAGAAACUGUCAACAUCAACUGUAGGAUGAGUCGAAAUGUUCAUGUUCACAGCAGCUCUUCCCCUUGUUUAGCCUGGUUCCAAAAGAAAUAUGGACAAACUCCUAAUCGGCUCAUGUACUAUGCCAGCACUCGAGAGUCAGGGACUCCAAGUCGUUUUACAGGCAGUGGAUCAAACUCUGACUUCACUCUGACCAUCAGUGGAGUUCAGGCCGAAGAUGCUGCAGUUUAUUAUUGUCAGAGUCAACACAACAUCAACAAUCAGUGGGUGUUCCCACAGUGA